GAUGAACGCUGGCGGCGUGCCUAAUACAUGCAAGUCGAGCGAACAGACGAGGAGCUUGCUCCUCUGACGUUAGCGGCGGACGGGUGAGUAACACGUGGAUAACCUACCUAUAAGACUGGGAUAACUUCGGGAAACCGGAGCUAAUACCGGAGAAUAUCUUGAACCGCAUGGUGCAAUAGUGAAAGACGGUGUUGCUGUAACUUAUAGAUGGAUCCGCGCCGCAUUAGCUAGUUGGUAAGGUAACGGCUUACCAAGGCGACGAUGCGUAGCCGACCUGAGAGGGUGAUCGGCCACACGGGAACUGAGACACGGUCCAGACUCCUACGGGAGGCAGCAGUCGGGAAUCUUCCGCAAUGGGCGAAAGCCUGACGGAGCAACGCCGCGUGAGUGAUGAAGGUCUUCGGAUCGUAAAACUCUGUUACUAGGGAAGAACAAAUGUGUAAGUAACUAUGCACGUCUUGACGGUACCUAAUCAGAAAGCCACGGCUAACUACGUG
rnacentral:rRNA from 1 species